GGGAACCAAUUAACCAUAAUCUCAAAGAAAAGUGCCAAGCUGAGAACAUAGAAAGGGGAAAACAGUUUUCCUCAAUUUCUCUCAGAUUAAUACCCAACAAAGAAAGAAAAAAAAGCCACCUUUGAAAUUGAAGAAAUACAAGAGAGAGACGGUAAGAAGAUUUACAUAAACGAAGAUUUGCAGUUUCUUUUUUGGUGCUCGUCUGGCUUUCUUUUGUUUUUCCUGUCUCUCCCGUUUUUAUGUUCACGACUUGUCUGUCUGAUCGUUUGCCUUUGUUUAUUUCACUUUUUAUUCACGUAUUUAUCACCCUUCUUUAUAUCCUCCACGUAUCUUAAUUAAAUCUAACUUGUUCACUUCAAUCACAUAUUGUAUCUUCAUUAGUCUUCA